GGUGUAUUCAUCAUAAUUAAAGAAUGAAGAGUCCAAAGAAUUGAAACAAACGGAUAAAAGGUUAUCUCAAGUCAAUCUACUUCUCUUCCAAUUCUUUUUUGCUUCUAAUACUUGGAUACAUUACAUGGGAAUAGAAAAGGCAUAACUAGUACACAAGUUCUUUCUUUUUAGGUUCAAGAAUCGGAGGGUCAAUGUCAAUUCCCAUAUUUGCUGCAGUGCCAGCUAUUAUCCUCAUUGCAGAUUCAAUAGUAGAACAAUUAAGAUCCG
rnacentral:misc_RNA from 1 species